rnacentral:RNase_P_RNA from 1 species
CCUGAGUGAUCGCGGUCUGCUUUUGCAGGCUGAGGAAAGUCCAUGCCCGCACAAGCUGAGAUGCUUGUAGUGUUCGUGCUAAGCCCAAUAAGCUUAGGGGCCGUGUAAACGGCUACGGCGGCCAAACGCGCUAAGGCGUCAGCUAUGCGCUAGUAGGUCUGAAAAGUGCCACAGUGACGAAACGAUCAGGGAAACCUGAGCGGUGGAACGGGUAAACCCCGCGAGCGAGUAACCCAAACUUUUGGUAGGGGC